UCCCAGGUGGCUCAGUGAUAAAGAAUCUGCCUGCAAUGCAGGAAACCCAGGUUCGAUCCCUGGGUCGGGAA
rnacentral:tRNA from 1 species